rnacentral:rRNA from 1 species
UACGAGUGCCUCAAGCGUUAUCCGGAAUUAUUGGGCGUAAAGGGUGCGUAGGCGGCUUUUUAAGUUUGGUGUGAAAUCUCCCGGCUCAACUGGGAGGGUGCGCCGAAUACUGAGAGGCUAGAGUGUGGGAGAGGAAAGUGGAAUUCCUGGUGUAGCGGUGAAAUGCGUAGAUAUCAGGAGGAACACCGGUGGUGUAAACGGCUUUCUGGACCAUAACUGACGCUGAGGCACGAAAGCGUGGGUAGCAAACAGG